AAAGGUAAGGUUGGGAGGGCCUCAGCAGCUUAAAUACAACUUCUCUUCAACGUGUUUAUUUCCACAAUGAGCCAGCUGGAGAAUUCAAGUAGCCAUCUGCGACGGACUUGCUGGUCUGGGUCUGGUUUCCUCUUAUAAGAGCAAUGGUUUGAAUUUGUAACCCGGGACUUUGGAAACUUGUUUCCCAGAUGUUGAAGACAAGAUGUUGCAUACUGACACUGGAUAUCGGACCCAGUCUAUGCUUAGGUCAUCACUGUGAAAACAGAAGCGGUAUGACUCAUUUCAAGCGUCUGAUUUACACACCCAUGAAGGAGCUCCUUCAGAUUGUUAUAUCCCUUCUCGCUACAAGUCCCACUUUCAAAGCCAGCUAGCCCCAGCUUCCCCAGCGGUGGAACUCAGAAAUCCAGACAACAGUUUUCAUGAAGCUGAUCAGCAGGAGCUUCCUCUGCCAGGCCUGCUCCCCAAAGGAAGAACGCUCAGAGCCAGGCCUUGGAGAUGAGAGAUGAGAUGCGUAAUGAAGAGCUGUUUGUUUUCUAGAGAUCUACAAGUCAAUUUGGGAUGCUUCAUCGGCCAAGUUUCUAUCUCUGUACUAGGCAACCAUUACAUGUUUACAGUUUGAAUAAAAUGUCCAUCCUUGCUUUCCAUGGGCAUCUGUACCUUGUUCAAACCACUCUGCAAUUUCAGGCAGACAAAGGCUUCCAAGUCACAAGGCCUGUUUGCGUAAUAGAAGCCCAUUAAGAUUGAGCAGAGGCAGCAUGUAUUAUAGUGAUUUCUCCCUUUGUGGGUUUCGCAAUUUUCCUCCCAAGCUUUGGUGCUUGAAGAUGGCAUUUUCAAAACUGGAAUUAACUACCAGAAAAUGUAUGACACAUAGUUGCCUGCAACCAGUUGGUAGCCCAGGGGACCUCACUGAGCCAUGGCUGUUUACCAGUUCUUUUUAGAGGAAGGAUAAACUUUAACAGGUUGCUUCAUUUAUAUGGCUUCAGGGGGUUAUAAUUAUUAUUUUUAAUAGAUGUUUUUCAAAUUCAGACCUGAGGAGAAAGCCUGUUAUGACUCUUCACUACGCAGUACAAUCUGAGUGUAAAUUUGAAGCUAUCAGGGGGCUCCUGAUGUCCAUAGUGACUGUUGCUACUUCAGACAUUGCCAAUGUAAACAGAUCACCCAUUAAUAAUGACUUCAGACAUUGUAUUUUUUUAUUACAUGGAGCAAUGGUAUACAUGUGUAUGUGCAAUUAUCUCCUAUGUUUGUUACAUUUGAAAACUUGCUAAAAUUUUAUUGCCUAAUCUUGAUAGAAGUUAGAAGAACUAACUAAACAAAACCAAAGGCAUUCUGUUUUACCAGUGAUGCCAUUCACCAGGUAGCAGAGCACUGGCGUUUGUGUGGGUUUUGGUUCCUACACAGCAUAUAAGUGCUCAAUAAUGACAUGGAAUAAAAAUUUAAAAAAUCUGCAACACGCAUUUGAA
rnacentral:lncRNA from 1 species